AAAGAGUUAUGAACCAAAUUAUUUUUUAAAGAUACAUGUGGGCUAAACUCUAAAACUAUAUCACCUCCUAGGUCUAGACAAUGGAAUCAUCUCCCACUGGACAAGGUGAAUAUCCAGUUCUCUUAAAUCAUUUAAGAUGAAUCUGGACAAAACACCAGAGAACAUCUAUCAUCACCGGGACUUACGACUGGACAAAGAUACAUCACGAAGGAAGACUGAGGAAAACAAGAAGUUGGAAAAAAAAGAGGGGGAGGAGGAGGACCUUAGGAAAGAGGCAUUCCCCUCCCCACCCCCUGCCCUGUAAAGAGGGAUAUAAUCAAAAGAGACAGAAUUACCACCAGCAGGAAGGCAGUAUGGUGUCGAGGAAAAAACUGGAGCUCUGGAGUCAAGAGAUGUGAAUCUGAGUCCCCCACUUCAUCCUUACUGAUUGUGUGACCCUGGGCAAAUAAGUCAUUUUUUGUCACUGAGCCUCCAUUUUUUUGUUUUUUGUUUGUUUUUUUUUGUUUUUUUUUUUUGUUUGUU
rnacentral:lncRNA from 1 species